ACAGAGUUCGUGCCCUUCGGGGUAGACCUCCCACCCGUGUGAACGAUACCUUUGUUGCUUUGGUCGGCCGCGGGCCCGCCCGCUACCGGCUCUGCUGGUACGCGCCGACCAGAGGCCCCAACUCCUGUUUUCUGUGCCGUCUAAGUCCCAUAUAAUCGUUAAAACUUUCAACAAUGGAUCUCUUGGUUCUGGCAUCGAUGAAGAACGCAGCGAAAUGCGAUAAAUAAUGUGAAUUGCAGACGUCCGUGAAUCAUUGAGUUUUUGAACGCACAUUGCGCCUAUUAGUACUCUAGUAGGCAUGCCUAUCCGAGCGUCGUGCUCUACUUCCAGCGGCAUCCUUGCGGUUGCCGCCGGGCGCUGGCGAUUGCUGGGAAGCCGAUCGCCGAAAUACAGUGGCUAGCGGGAAGGCAGCGUUCUACGUAGUAAAUCAAUCGUCUAAUCUGUCCUCCGGCUACGCCUGGCUCAAACAGUUGACCUCGGAUUAGGUAGGAAUACCCGCUGAACUUAA
rnacentral:rRNA from 1 species